UUAGUAGGAAAUGGCUAAUAAGUGACGGUACCUUACCAGAAAGGGACGGCUAACUACGUGCCAGCAGCCGCGGUAAUACGUAGGUCCCGAGCGUUAUCCGGAAUUAUUGGGCGUAAAGGGCACGUAGGCGGACAAAUAAGUUUGAUGUCAAAUAUGAUGGCUCAACCAUCAAGAGGCGUUGAAAACUGUUUAUCUAGAAUCUCGGAGAGGUAAGUGGAAUUCCAUGUGUAGCGGCGGAAUGCGUAGAUAUAUGGAGGAACACCAAUGGCGAAGGCAGCUUACUGGACGAAGAUUGACGCUGAGGUGCGAAAGCGUGGGUAGCAAACAGGAUUAGAUACCCUGGUAG
rnacentral:rRNA from 1 species